CGGACGGGUGAGUAAUGCAUAGGAAUCUACCUAAUAGUGGGGGACAACCUGGUGAAAACCAGGCUAAUACCGCAUAAUCCCUACGGGGCAAAGCAGGGGACCUUCGGGCCUUGCGCUAAUAGAUGAGCCUAUGUCGGAUUAGCUAGUUGGUGGGGUAAAGGCCUACCAAGGCGACGAUCCGUAGCUGGUUUGAGAGAAUGAUCAGCCACACUGGGACUGAGACACGGCCCAG
rnacentral:rRNA from 1 species